rnacentral:tRNA from 1 species
UAGCUCAGUUGGGAGAGUGUUUGCCUUGCAAGCACAAGGCCCUGGGUUCCAUCCCCAG